GCUAGUAAUCGCGCAUCAGCCAUGGCGCGGUGAAUACGUUCCCGGGCCUUGUACACACCGCCCGUCACACCAUGGGAGCCGGUAAUACCCGAAGUCAGUAGUCCAACCACGUGAGGACGCUGCCGAAGGUAGGAUUGGCGACUGGGGUGAAGUCGUAACAAGGUAAC
rnacentral:rRNA from 1 species